GCACUGUUGAGGUGUCCCACAAUAGGACGAAACGGCUUUCCAGUGC
rnacentral:hammerhead_ribozyme from 1 species